UACGUAGGGUGCAAGCGUUAAUCGGAAUUACUGGGCGUAAAGCGUGCGCAGGCGGUUAUAUAAGACAGAUGUGAAAUCCCCGGGCUCAACCUGGGAACCGCAUUUGUGACUGUAUAGCUAGAGUACGGUAGAGGGGGAUGGAAUUCCGCGUGUAGCAGUGAAAUGCGUAGAUAUGCGGAGGAACACCGAUGGCGAAGGCAAUCCCCUGGACCUGUACUGACGCUCAUGCACGAAAGCGUGGGGAGCAAACAGG
rnacentral:rRNA from 1 species